UUCUCCACUGUGAUAGAUAUCCAGAAACAGAUCUACUAAAUGGAGUGACAAAAUAUAAGACUUCAACUGUUUUUGACUCUAGUUUGCCUAGCUGACUCAACACAGCUACCAAGGCAUUCAUAUCAGCAAAGAGAUGCCUCACAGAGAGACCCUGGUGGACUAGAGGGCUGGACAAUCACCACUGUAUGAAGUUUAACAAGAGCUGGAUUCUACACCCGGGAAGGGGCAACCCUGGCUAUACAUAAAGACUGGGGGAUGUGAGGCUGGAGAGU
rnacentral:lncRNA from 1 species